rnacentral:rRNA from 1 species
GAUGAACGCUGGCGGCGUGCCUAAUACAUGCAAGUCGAGCGAACAGACGAGGAGCUUGCUCCUUUGACGUUAGCGGCGGACGGGUGAGUAACACGUGGGUAACCUACCUAUAAGACUGGGAUAACUUCGGGAAACCGGAGCUAAUACCGGAUAAUAUUUCGAACCGCAUGGUUCAAUAGUGAAAGAUGGCUCUGCUAUCACUUAUAGAUGGACCUGCGCCGUAUUAGCUAGUUGGUAAGGUAACGGCUUACCAAGGCAACGAUACGUAGCCGACCUGAGAGGGUGAUCGGCCACACUGGAACUGAGCCACGGUCCAGACUCCUACGGGAGGCAGCAGUAGGGAAUCUUCCGCAAAGGGCGAAAGCCUGACGGAGCAACGCCGCGUGAGUGAUGAAGGUCUUCGGAUCGUAAAACUCUGUUAUUAGGGAAGAACAAACGUGUAAGUAACUGUGCACGUCUUGACGGUACCUAAUCAGAAAGCCACGGCUAACUACGUG